AAAAACAAUCACUUCAGAUCAUUAACUUUUCAGCACAAAUUAAAGAAUCUAAACUGAUGAGUUCAAGAAGGAAAACUGAUAGUAGCAAAUGUUUGCUGCAAAACUCAUUCAUGCAGGUAAUGCCAUGGCAUCCAAGGCUGGGAUGGCAUUAGAGGUUGGCCAAAUACAAGUCCAUAAAAGCCAAAGCAGUAAUUAAUACCAUGAAGUAGGAUUAAAUGGGAUAUUUUCUAUUUAUUUCCAUUUAUGUAAUUCUAGGGAUGUGAUGGCUCAAGCACGGUGAUGUCUCCUCCUACCACACCCCACUGUGUCCCUAAUGCUCUUUAGGGG
rnacentral:misc_RNA from 1 species